AUGGACGAUUUGUGCGACGAGAUGGAGUGGCUUCACGGAGGUGAACGGAGGAGCCGUGAUGGUGCAGCUGUAUUGGUUCUGAGCGUCGGUCGAAGGGACUUUCCGUGGCUGUAUUCAACAAUGUUGAGAGGCAAUGAUGAUGGUGAUGGCAUCGUUGUCGGGGCAGGUUGUUGCGGGUUUGUCGGCGCGGCUCGAGUGAGUGCUGUUGACGGAGGCUCAGACCGUGGCAGAGUUUCGAUUUGCACUUAA